AUUGAACGCUGGCGGCAGGCCUAACACAUGCAAGUCGAACGGUAACAGAAAGCAGCUUGCUGCUUUGCUGACGAGUGGCGGACGGGUGAGUAAUGUCUGGGAAACUGCCUGAUGGAGGGGGAUAACUACUGGAAACGGUAGCUAAUACCGCAUAACGUCGCAAGACCAAAGAGGGGGACCUUCGGGCCUCUUGCCAUCGGAUGUGCCCAGAUGGGAUUAGCUAGUAGGUGGGGUAAAGGCUCACCUAGGCGACGAUCCCUAGCUGGUCUGAGAGGAUGACCAGCCACACUGGAACUGAGCCACAGUCCAGACUCCUACGGGAGGCAGCAGUGGGGAAUAUUGCACAAUGGGCGCAAGCCUGAUGCAGCCAUGCCGCGUGUAUGAAGAAGGCCUUCGGGUUGUAAAGUACUUUCAGCGGGGAGGAAGGGAGUAAAGUUAAUACCUUUGCUCAUUGACGUUACCCGCAGAAGAAGCACCGGCUAACUCCGUG
rnacentral:rRNA from 1 species